rnacentral:rRNA from 1 species
AUACGUAGGGUGCAAGCGUUAAUCGGAAUUACUGGGCGUAAAGCGUGCGCAGGCGGUUUUGUAAGACAGUGGUGAAAUCCCCGGGCUCAACCUGGGGAAUGCCCUUGUGACUGCAAGGCUGGAGUGCGGCAGAGGGGGAGGGAAUUCCGCGAGUCGCCGUGAAAUGCGUAGAUAUGCGGAGGAACACCGAUGGCGAAGGCAAUCCCCUGGGCCUGCACUGACGCUCAUGCACGAAAGCGUGGGGAGCAAACAGGAUUAGAUACCCUGGUAGUCCACGCCCUAAACGAUGUCAACUGGUUGUUGGGGAUUUAUUUUCUCAGUAACGAAGCUAACGCGUGAAGUUGACCGCCUGGGGAGUACGGCCGCAAGGUUAAAACUCAAAUGAAUUGGCGGGG